rnacentral:rRNA from 1 species
UGGGUAACCUGCCUUAGUGAGGGGGAUAGCCUUCCGAAAGGAAGAUUAAUACCGCAUAAAAUUAUUUCUUCGCAUGGAGAGAUAAUCAAAGGAGUGAUCCGCACUAAGAUGGACCCGCGGCGCAUUAGCUAGUUGGUGAGGUAACGGCUUACCAAGGCGACGAUGCGUAGCCGGCCUGAGAGGGUGAACGGCCACAUUGGAACUGAGACACGGUCCAAACUCCUACGGGAGGCAG